AAAAACAUAGAGAAUGGUACUAAUGAAGCUCAUAAUACACGUAUAUUCAAAACUCGUAAUGAUAGCAUAUUAAAUUUAUUUCCUUGUUAGUUUGUGCAGACACAAUGACUUUCUCACUGAUCAAGGAAUUUUGAUAGUCUAUGACACCAUUACCUAUAUCCUUAAUGAAUUUUGAUGAAAACAAAGUGUAGAUUAAUAAACGUUGGUG
rnacentral:lncRNA from 1 species